AUUUGUUUCUUCCAGUGUUUCUGCAUAACGAAUGAGUUGAAGGAUACUGUAUGAUUAGUGCCUCACUCACCUGCAAGUUAUUGCAGCUCAGCAAGUGAAGCUGUCAAUGUCAGAUGAACUUCGGCAAUUACUCAUGUAUACUGGAUGAAUUUCCAUUUUGCAGUAGAAAUGAACAAUGGACUUGCCACAGCAGUCUACCUCUGCUAACUCAAACAGCUCUCAAUGAUAAACAGAACUUCACAUCAGAACCCUGUUGCAUCUCCUGUCCUUUCCUCAUCUUCUCUGGGAGUGCCAUCACUUUACAUUACUGCCAUCAUUACCAUCCACGGUGAUGCAAUUGCUCGCUGUACAUUUCAUCCAAAGUGUUUCUGCUUGCACUGGAUUAUUCAUCUAGAGUGAAGAUAAAGGAAAGUGUUAAAUGGUUUUCUUCAAAAUGUAGAUCUUUCAUAAAAAUGUAUGAAAACCUUGAUGAUUUGCUCAUUAAAGAAACCAACAUCCUGUUAAGGAAACACUAGUAAUUGUGCACUAUUUCUGGCUAGUAAGACAAAAGCAACUGCCUUAUUCCAUACUGAGCAUAACAAAGCUCCAG
rnacentral:lncRNA from 1 species